rnacentral:tRNA from 1 species
AGCCCCGUCGUCUAGUGGCCAAGGAUAGCGGUCUUUGGAACCGUUGACGUAGGUUCGAAGACUUUCGGAUUCGAAGAAGCCGAAAGUAUGAAACGCCGCGCGUUUCAUGAAUAUCCUACCGGGGCUACCA